AAGUACGCGCUUUUUCUUGCUCUGGUAAUAAUCCUAGAUAUUAUCGUAGAUAGAUAGUUGUCUUACUUUGUGGUAGAUACGCGAUCUCUACCAUGAAUUUUGCAGCACGAAUUGCAAUUCUUUGUAAUGUAUGACACAGCUUUACAAACCUCAAAACUUUUACCAAGACCUUUGUUUUUAUCUUUCUUAAUAUUUUAAUUUGCUUUUGACAGAUGUUAUUCAAACACCUGAUGUAAGUUUACCUAACUGAAGUUCUUCUAUUUUUCUUUUAGGGGUGCUAGAACUGGACAGUGGGAGAAAUAUUGUAAGCUGUGAGACUGCAGUGUCACCAUGCUUUCAUGGAAAGCCACUUAAUUUUAUGUAUGGACAGGUUUCUGAAGUAGGCUGCUCCUAUGCCAGAGCAGACCAGUGUAAUCAAACAAGUCCUUCUUUGGAGAGUGAGGAUCUCUUCUACUACUCAAUGAUUGCACUGAGGUUAAGAAAUCAACAGAGAUUGGGCACUCAGGGAAAUAGAAGACUUAAAAGACUGACCCAAAUGGGUAUUUCUUUGCCUUCAUAACUUUUGCUCAGAAAAUCCAAGU